UACGGGGGGAGCAAGCGUUGUUCGGAAUUACUGGGCGUAAAGCGCGUGCAGGUGGUUUUCUAAGUUUCGUGUGAAACCCCAUGGCUCAACCAUGGAACGGCACGGAAAACUGGAAGACUUGAAUACGGGAGAAGAGGGCGGAAUUCCCAGUGUAGAGGUGAAAUUCGUAGAUAUUGGGAGGAACACCGGUGGCGAAAGCGGCUCUCUAGACCGAUAUUGACGCUCAUACGCGAGAGCGUGGGUAGCAAACAGG
rnacentral:rRNA from 1 species